GAGGGAGAAGCUACUUUCGGGUAGUGGAGACCGGCAGACGGGUGAGUAACACGUGGGAACAUACCUAGUAGUGGGGGAUAACAGUUGGAAACGACUGCUAAUACCGCAUACGCCCUUCGGGGGAAAGAUUUAUCGCUAUUAGAUUGGCCCGCGUUAGAUUAGCUAGUUGGUAAGGUAACGGCUUACCAAGGCGACGAUCUAUAGCUGGUUUGAGAGGAUGAUCAGCCACACUGGGACUGAGACACGGCCCAGACUCCUACGGGAGGCAGCAGUGGGGAAUAUUGCGCAAUGGAGGAAACUCUGACGCAGCCAUGCCGCGUGAGUGAAGAAGGCCUUAGGGUUGUAAAGCUCUUUCAGACGUGAUGAUGAUGACAGUAACGUCAAAAGAAGUUCCGGCUAACUUCGUGCCAGCAGCCGCGGUAAUACGAAGGGAACUAGCGUUGUUCGGAUUUACUGGGCGUAAAGAGCAUGUAGGCGGAUUGGUCAGUUGGGGGUGAAAGCCCGGAGCUCAACUCCGGAACGGCCUUCAAUACUGCCAGUCUAGAG
rnacentral:rRNA from 1 species